rnacentral:tRNA from 1 species
GCCCAGGUGGUGGAAUUGGUAGACACGCAGGUCUCAGAAGCCUGUGCUUAAUUGCAUCGGGGUUCGAGUCCCCGCUUGGGCACCA